CAUUAAAUAUCUUAAAAGUAAGAGUUAAUUUUUUAAUUUAAUUAUAAUAAAAUAACGUUUAUUUUUAAUGA
rnacentral:tRNA from 1 species